rnacentral:rRNA from 1 species
UGCUGUACCGCGUUGACGGAGCGAAGCGACGUCAAACCGAUAAAACAGCAGUGUAAAGUGAGCCGCAGGGCGCUUUGCGCGACAGCGCAAAGGCAGGCGGUUUCGCGUAGCGAAAGCGAAUGCUUUGGGGUGGGGUGACUGCGUACCUUUUGUAUAAUGGGUCAGCGACUUAUAUUCUGUAGCAAGGUUAACCGUAUAGGGGAGCCGUAGGGAAACCGAGUCUUAACCGGGCGUUAAGUUGCAGGGUAUAGACCCGAAACCCGGUGAUCUAGCCAUGGGCAGGUUGAAGGUUGGGUAACACUAACUGGAGGACCGAACCGACUAAUGUUGAAAAAUUAGCGGAUGACCUGUGGCUGGGGGUGAAAGGCCAAUCAAACCGGGAGAUAGCUGGUUCUCCCCGAAAGCUAUUUAGGUAGCGCCUCGUGAAUUCAUCUCCGGGGGUAGAGCACUGUUUCGGCUAGGGGGCCAUCCCGGCUUACCAACCCGAUGCAAACUGCGAAUACCGGAGAAUGUUAUCACGGGAGACACACGGCGGGUGCUAACGUCCGUCGUGAAGAGGGAAACAACCCAGACCGCCAGCUAAGGUCCCAAAGUCAUGGUUAAGUGGGAAACGAUGUGGGAAGGCCCAGACAGCCAGGAUGUUGGCUUAGAAGCAGCCAUCAUUUAAAGAAAGCGUAAUAGCUCACUGGUCGAGUCGGCCUGCGCGGAAGAUGUAACGGGGCUAAACCAU